UACGUAGGGGGCAAGCGUUGUCCGGAAUCAUUGGGCGUAAAGAGCGCGUAGGCGGCCCUGUAAGUCCGCUGUGAAAGUCAAGGGCUCAACCCUUGGAUGCCGGUGGAUACUGCAGGUCUAGAGUCCGGAAGAGGCGAGUGGAAUUCCUGGUGUAGCGGUGAAAUGCGCAGAUAUCAGGAGGAACACCGAUGGCGAAGGCAGCUCGCUGGGCCGGUACUGACGCUGAGGCGCGAAAGCGUGGGGAGCAAACAGG
rnacentral:rRNA from 1 species